rnacentral:rRNA from 1 species
AUAGAUCUUAAUAUAUGUAAUAAUAUAAUUGAGUUAAAAUUUAAUUUUUGAUUAUUAUGAAAUUUAUUUAAUUGGGGUGAUUAAGAGAUAAGUAAAACUCUUUUUAAACUUUAAUAGUAUAAUUAGAUGUAUGAUCCAUAAUUAAUGAUUAAGAGAUUAAAUUACCUUAGGGAUAACAGCAUAAUUCUUUUUGAGAGUUCAUAUUGAAAAAAGAGAUUGUGACCUCGAUGUUGGAUUAAGAUUAGUUUUGGGUGCAGAUGUUCAAUAACUAGGUCUGUUCGACCUUGAAAAUCUUACA